rnacentral:rRNA from 1 species
CGUAGGGUGCAAGCGUUCAUCGGAAUUACUGGGCGUAAAGCGUGCGCAGGCGGUUAUGUAAGACAGAUGUGAAAUCCCCGGGCUCAACCUGGGAACUGCAUUUGUGACUGCAUAGCUUGAGUGCGGCAGAGGGGGAUGGAAUUCCGCGUGUAGCAGUGAAAUGCGUAGAUAUGCGGAGGAACACCGAUGGCGAAGGCAAUCCCCUGGGCCUGCACUGACGCUCAUGCACGAAAGCGUGGGGAGCAAACAGG